CCUACGGGAGGCUGCAGUGAGGAAUAUUGGUCAAUGGGAGAGAUCCUGAACCAGCCAAGUAGCGUGCAGGAUGACGGCCCUACGGGUUGUAAACUGCUUUUAUACGGGAAUAACGCGCCUUACGUGUAGGGCUUUGCAUGUACCUUAUGAAUAAGGACCGGCUAAUUCCGUGCCAGCAGCCGCGGUAGUACGGAAGGCCCGAGCGUUAUCCGGAUUCAUUGGGCUUAAAGGGUGCGCAGGGGGCGAGUUAAGUCAGCGGUAAAAUGUCGGGGCUCAACCCCGACAAGCCGUUGAAACUGGCGGGCUAGAGUGGGCGAGAAGUAGGCGGAAUGCGUGGUGUAGCGGUGAAAUGCAUAGAUAUCACGCAGAACUCAGAUUGCGAAGGCAGCAUACCGGAGCCCAACUGACGCUCAGGCACGAAAGCGUGGGUAUCGAACAGGAUUAGAUACCCUGGUAGUC
rnacentral:rRNA from 1 species